rnacentral:rRNA from 1 species
UUGGGUGGCGGACGGGUGAGUAACGCGUAAAGAACUUGCCUCACAGUUUGGGACAACAUUUGGAAACGAAUGCUAAUACCGAAUAUUAUGAUCGAAUGGCAUCAUUUGAUUAUGAAAGCUAUAUGCGCUGUGAGAGAGCUUUGCGUCCCAUUAGCUAGUUGGAGAGGUAACGGCUCACCAAGGCGAUGAUGGGUAGCCGGCCUGAGAGGGUGAACGGCCACAAGGGGACUGAGACACGGCCCUUACUCCCACGGGAGGCAGCAGUGGGGAAUAUUGGACAAUGGACCAAAAGUCUGAUCCAGCAAUUCUGUGUGCACGAUGAAGUUUUUCGGAAUGUAAAGUGCUUUCAGUUGGGAAGAAGAAAGUGACGGUACCAACAGAAGAAGUGACGGCUAAAUACGUGCCAGCAGCCGCGGUAAUACGUAUGUCACAAGCGUUAUCCGGAUUUAUUGGGCGUAAAGCGCGUCUAGGCGGUUAAUUAAGUCUGAUGUGAAAAUGCGGAGCUCAACUCCGUAUUGCGUUGGAAACUGGUUAACUAGAGUACUGGAGAGGUAAGCAGAACUACAAGUGUAGAGGUGAAAUUGUAGAUAUUUGUAGGAAUGCCGAUGGGGAAGCCAGCUUACUGGACAGAUACUGACGUAAAGCGCGAAAGCGUGGGUAGCAACAGGAUUAG